AACAUAUAAUGGGGCUGUAUUCUUUCAUAGCACACCCUCAAAUGGAAAAACAAAUAUCUUGAGCACUAAUGUGACUUCUUAAAUGGCAUAAACUCCCUCAGGUAUACUAAUAAGAAAGGAAAAAAUAUUAACAGCUACAAAAUGGAGCUCUCGCCUUCUAUAACUCCCUCGUGAAGGGUUUAGUCAAUGGAUAUAAAAAUACCACGAGCACAACAGACUUCUAUAUGGCUUAAACUCCCUCAGAUACAAUAAACAGAAAAGGAAAAAAGAGAAAUAACAGAUGAAAUAGCGAAAUCCCUGCCCAGUGUCCCGUUGCAGACAGUAAAUCCCCCUUUGUUCCUUGCCUAAGGUGACACAGGCUGACAUUUCCCCCUAGUUCCCCUCACCCAGGGGGAGGACACCCGCGGGGAGCCAGCAUGUCGUGCAGCUACGCCCAGGGGCUGAGCAAGUACGAGAACAAGGGCAAGCUCGGCCUGCCGGAGAGGUUUGACCCGGCAGAUGAGGUGGAGCGCAAGGCACAGAUCCUGGCCCAGUGGAUGAAAGAGUCCAAACACACCGUCAUCCACACGGGGGCUGGGAUCAGCACGGCAGCCGGGAUCCCUGAUUUCAGAGGCCCCAAUGGAGUCUGGACGCUGGAGAAGGAAGGGCUCAAGCCAGAGGUCAAUAUAUCAUGGGACGACGCGCGGCCCACACUCACGCACAUGGCCAUCGUCAGUCUGGAGCAGCAGGGCUAUGUCCAGUAUGUGGUGACCCAGAACAUCGACGGCCUCCACCUGCGCUCCGGGCUGCCGCGUCGGAAGUUGGCGGAGCUACACGGAGACAUGUUCGUCGACAAGUGUAACCUGUGUCAGAGGCAGUUCGUCCGAAGCUCAGCGGCCACAACCGUCGGGCAGAAGAGUGAGGGCAAGUCGUGUCCAGCCAGGCGGAGUAAUGGAAGGAGGUGUCGCGGGAAGCUGCACGACAACAUUCUGGACUGGGAGGACGGACUGCCUGACGCCGACCUUGGUCUGGCCAUCUCCAACGCCUGUGUGGCCGACCUGAGCCUGUGUCUGGGAACAACGCUACAGAUUGUUCCCAGCGGCAACAUUCCGGUGGACACCAAAAAGCGCGGCGGCAAGCUGGUGAUAUGCAACCUCCAGCCCACCAAGCAGGACCGACAUGCCGACCUCAUCAUCAACACCUACGUCAACGAUCUCAUGAAACGCCUCCUUGAGCUCAUGGCCGUCCCCCUCGUGGCUUACUCCCCCAAGGACGACCCUCUCAAGAUCACACAGCAACUCCUCCAAAACUCAAGGAUCAUUGGAAGGUCGGAAGAGGACGCGUUUGAGCCCAUAGAGUGGACCAUCCCGGAGGAGUGGGUCAAAGAUAACGACCUUGCCGAGAGGGUCAAGGCGAGGAAGGUCAUACGCAAGAGGCCCGGGGGGGUCAAAGAGGAGGUGGUGGAGAGGAAAAAGGUUAAAAAUAGUCAGGUUUCGAAGGUGGAGGAAAGAAUGGAGGAAGGGAAAGGGGAGGGAGAAGAGAGAGACAGUGUGAAUUGUAAAAAUGGAGAGAUGGCUGUGAAGAAGGAGGAGGGAGGAAUUAAGGAAGAAGCAGUUAGCAUAAAAGAAGAAGAGAAAGGAGUGAAAAUGGCAAAACAGGAGCUGGUGGAGAGAGCGGAAAAUGCGUGUGAUGAAAUAAAGAGAGAAGAAGAAGUGGUAAAGUCAAAAAUAGAGAAAGAAAAGAAAGUUAAGGUAGAAAAACAAGGGAUAGAUAGUUCGGAAAAUGACAAAAUGAAAGACAAGACGACGAAGGAGAAGGAGGAGGAAGAAAAUGGGAAAGCAUACAGCAACGGAAACACAGAAGACGAGAAAGAAGAAAACGAGGAAAUGGGUCCAAAAACACAUAACCAGGAGGAAAGGGAAGAGGAGGAAGAGAAGACAGGAGAGGACAAAACCUUCACCAACGGAAACACAAACGACGGAGAAGCGGAAACCGAUGAAAAUACCACAAAAACGGAAAAUACGAAAGUUAACGAGCGAGAGGAAGAGGACGAGAAAACAGAAACAAGCAAAUCAUAUACCAACGGAAACCAAAACAACGACAACGACGACGAAAUAAAAAUCGCUGAGAACGGAAGGACAGAAAAAUAUAGGAGCUCAAACCUAGACACAGGGAAGGGGGUGUCGGGAGGUCAAGCUUCAGAGGUCGCCGAGGAAGGGUCAACGUCGCCAGGGCAGGGAAAUGACCUCGACACAUGACAGAAGUGACAGGUUCUCGCACUGACCCAAGACAAGGAAAGGUCACGGCUGAGAGGAAAGGUCAGGUAGAGAAAAAUGACAUGAAGGUCACCAAUAACUUCCCACCUUCAAAUAUUAUGCCUCUGUUAUUUUAUUUUGACCUCUUAAUGGGAAAAAGGUCGCUAGCAACUUUUGACCUUCAGAAACUAUCCCUUUUUUUUAAAUGGAAAAUAAGGUCGCUAAUGACUUGACCUUUUAGAAAUUAUGAAGCAUUAUUUCUGUGGGACUUUUAUAUGGCAAAAAUAAGGUCACUAGCAACUUUUGACCUGAAAUUAUCCCUUUUUUUAAUGGAAAAUAAGGUCGCUAAUGACUUGACCUUUUAGAAAUUGUAAGUCAUUAUAUUUUUUUCUUUAAAUAGCAAAAAUAAGGUCACUAGCAACUUUUGACCUUCAGAAAUUAUACUUAUCAAUUUGGGGUCAUUCAAUUAAGUUAUUCAAGUUAUUUUAUUAUUUUAUGUAUUUAUUUAUUUAUAUUUUGCCCGAUAGCAUUUCUGGAAGUAACUACAAUCCUCUACUAAGCUGUAUUUUGAGGUUGCGUUCAUGGUCUUCAAAUUGAGUGUUUUCGAGCGAUUGUAAUUUCCGAUUCACUUCAGUUUGCUCUUCUGGAUUUAUCAUUUAUUUAUAUUUUGCCUGAUAGCAUUUCUGGAAGUAACUACAAUCCUCUACUAAGCCGUAUUUUGAGGUUGCGUUCAUGGUCUUCAAAUUAAGUGUUUUCGAGCGAUUGUAAUUUCCGAUUCAUGUCAGUUUGUUCUUCUGGAUUUAUCUAGUUAUUUAUAUUUUGCCUGAUAGCAUUUCUGAAGAUAACUUUAUUUUUUUACUGAAUAAUUACGUCUUAUUUUGAGGUUACAUUCACCACCAUCAAAUUAAGUGUUUUUUAAGGGGUUGCAAUUUCUGAUUUAUGUCAAUUUGAGCUCGUGGAUGUAUUUAUUUAUGUAUAUUUUGCCAACAGCAUUUCUGAAGAUAACUAUAUUUUUUUACUUGAUAAUUACGUCUUAUUUUGAGCUUACAUUCAUCAUCUUCAUAUUAAUUUCCGAUUCAUGUAAAUUUGUGUUUUUGAAUAUCCUAAUGAGUGAUUUUCAGUUCAGAUGGAGAGGAAAAGGGUUAGAAGUAGUUGAGUAUAGGAGAGAAUGGAGAGGAAAAGGGUUAGAAGUAGUUGAGUAUAGGAGAGAAUGGAGAGGAAAAGGAGGGUUGGGAAAAUGAGGAGAAGGUUGCAAAGAAGGAGGAGGAAGAGGAGAAGGCAGGAGUGAAGUCAACAUUGGUGAAGAAGGAAGAGAAAGUGGUUUAACAGUGCAAAGAAAAGGAGGAAGAGGAGAAGAUAGGAGGGAAGAGAAAGUGGUUUAACAGUGCAGAGAAAAGGAGGAGGAAGAGGAAGAGGAGAAGAUAAGAGGGAAGAGAAAGUGGUUUAACAGUGCAAAGACAAGGAGGAAGAGGAGAAGAUAAGAGGGAAGAGAAAGUGGUUUAACAGUGCAAAGAAAAGGAGGAGGAAGAGGAGGAGAAGAUAAGAGUGAAGAGAAAGUGGUUUGACAGUGCAGAGAAAAGGAGGAGGAGGAGGAAGAGGAGAAGAUAAGAGGGAAGAGAAAGUGGUUUAACAGUGCAAAGAAAAGGAGGAGGAAGAGGAGGAGAGAAGUCAAUGAGUGCAAAAAAUUAAGAGAAGGCAGUUUAUCUCAUUCACAUUUACCGUACAAUUAUUAAUUUACUUUUCCUUUCGUCUCCUUCGUCGUCUCAGCGUCAACAGGGAAAGGUUUAUUUGACUCCACUUUCGACAUUGUUUAUAAAGGGAUAUAUUAUGUAAGGAAGAAGAUAUGACAAUAAUUAAUUGACUCGGAGCAUCAACUGCCACGCGUAAUGGUAAAACACACACACACACACACACACACACACACACACACACACACAGAAUCUCAUCUCACACGGAGUAGGAAUAUGACUGCAUGUACAUCUAUACACAUAAACUUGCUUGUGUACAUAAACUUAGGGUGUGUUUUGAGAGUGUGUUUCCAUCCUUCCAACGGGUUCACAUGUAUCCUUCUUAUGUCUCCUGUUUGUCAGUUAUUCUUCCUCUUAUUCUUUAUUUUUUUUCAUUUAGUUUGUUGUUCGUUUGUUGUAUUUCUUUCAUUUUUAUUCCUGUCGUUUGUUAAUCCUUCCUUUUGUUUGUAUUCCUGUUUGUUGAUUCUUCCUUUCUUCCCUUUCAUUUUUAUUCCUGUUUGUUAAUCCUUCCCUUCAUACCUUUCAUUCUUGUUCAUCAUCAUUUCAUUGACGCCUGCUCCUAGGAGCUCCCACCAGGGGAUGGCCACGGCAGAAGAGCUUCCAACUUUCUCUGUCCAGACACUCCCUCCUUGCCUGCUCAAAGUUUCUCAAAGAUCUUUCACCCCUCUCCCUAACGUACUCUUGCACCCUAACCCUCCAUUUCACUGGAGGUUGUCUUCUAGCAUUCCCUCCCUCUAUCUCACUCACAUACAUCCUUCUGGUCAUCUUACUCUCCUCCAUUCGCUCCAGGUGGCCAAACCACUUUAAAGUCUGUCACUUCACUUCUUCACCCCAUGUGACACAUUCCAAAACACUCAUACACACUUUCAUUACUCAUUCCAUCCAUUCUACUCACACCACAAGCACUCCUCAAAUAACUCAUUUCCACUGCCUGCACUCUAGACCUCUGACUUUCAUUCCAGGCCCACGUUUCACUUGCAUAUGUGAGGGUUGGUACUAUUAUUGUAUUUCUCAAAUCCCUCUUUACCUCCAUGCUCACACUUCUGCCAUUCAUGAUUCGUCCCAAAGACCCUACCACCCUUCUUCCUUGCAAUGCCCUAUCUCUUGUCUCUCCCUCCAUGCCACCAUGCUUACACAUUACGGAUCCAAGGUACUUAAACUCAUUGACCUCCUCCAUUUCUUCACCAUUCAAAAAUAUUUUGCAUUCUUUUUCACAUUCAAUUCCCACUCUAUAUGGGCAUACAAAAUCUACAACCUCACUUCUACUUCGCUCACAAACCAUCACCUUACUUUUGUUGACAUUUACUUUCAGCUUUCUCCUUUUACAGACACUAUCAAAAACACUGACCAAAUUUUGUAAGUCACUUUCAUUUUCUGCAUUUUCAUUCUUAUUCCUUUCCGUUAAUUCACCAGACACAACAGUAGUUUCCCCAUAUUGUUUUAGCUCCCCAUUGGCAUUUCCCAGUUUUCUUCUUUCAACAUAACACAAGAACUCGCUGGGAACGUUGGGCGGCCACUCUCAAACACCGCCUACCUACACGUGUACGCAUUUGACAUACACACAUGGUGGCUGCCUGGCUGUGUAUGUAUAUAGACAGUGGGGAAGGAAUGAGUGCUGGCCAAUGUUCAUUCCCCACCAGACUGUGAUAAAGAGAUCGGACUGUCCAUUGCUGUACCCUCACCUAUUCUUAGACAGCGAAAAACUCAAGCUCGUAUUUUUAAAUGUAUUGUCGCCUCAGUUCGCCUGUUUGAAAAGCCUCUCGGAGAAGUUGCUGGGCUUUUCAUGGACUGUUUGUGAUCCUUGUGAUAGUUUUACUCGACUUCUGCACCAUGAAAAGGAGAAACGCCCAUUAAAACCCGGUUAGUCUUCUCUCUGGCCUUGGAAAAUAGUCGCACUGGGAGCAUGAUACAUUUAAGAAUAUGGGCAUCACACACACACACACACACACACACACACACACACACACACACACACACA